UACGUAGGCGGGAAAUUAAGUCAGUAGUGAAAUCCCACAGCUUAACUGUGGAACUGUUAUUGAUACUGGUUUUCUUGAAUAUAGUUGAGGUAGGCGGAAUGUGUAAUGUAGCGGUGAAAUGCUUAGAUAUUACACAGAACACCGAUUGCGAAGGCAGCUUACUAAGCUAUUAUUGACGCUGAGGCACGAAAGCGUGGGGAGCGAACAGGAUUAGAUACCCUGGUAGUCC
rnacentral:rRNA from 1 species